AGCAGACUGGUUCUCCAACACAUAUGAUAACCAAAAGAAUUAAGAAGAGAAGUCAGCAGCAGCAUCAAGGGCUGGAAGACUGCUUGCUCCUGGGACUGCUACAGAAGAAGAGAUCCUUAACCUCUGACAAUGGCUGGCAGAAGAAGUGCUCCUUCAGGAAUGCUUUGUCUUCAGGAAGAUUCACAGAAAGGACUUUUUGACAAGUGCAAGUUUCUGAUAACUUUAAGAUCAUAAAACUGAACUGGACAACAAUUUCCAGAACUAGUGAAAAAACAAACUGGAUGAAAACAGAACAAAUACUCGGGACUAAAUGAACUGAGGAUGAUUAUAAGUUUUUAUGGCUUUUUAAAAAAUCUCUUGUCUUCCACAUGUAAGAAAACCUUUCCUCUUAAGCUAACUAUGAUUGACAGCCAUUUGGUAAAUUAUACUCUGGUAAGCAGGAGUGAAACACUUAUCUUUUUCUCCC
rnacentral:lncRNA from 1 species